rnacentral:lncRNA from 1 species
UUUGUCUGGAAGCUCAUCCAUGGGGCUACGAGCAGAGUGCAUCAUGUCACUCCUACUUCUGUCCCCUUGGAAGGUCUGAGAUUAGGGCCCCAUAAGUAGCCCUAAUGGGGCUUUCCCUGACCUUGGGGAGGUGAGUUCCUAGAGAGCAGAACUCUGCACAAGGGCAGACUAAGCAGGAGAUGCUGGUGCCCCCCAGGACAGCCAUUUUAAUCUAAACAUUCAUUAGCCUACAAGAGUUGUGUGACAAUUUUCUUUAAUGAA